GUUCGCCGUGUGGUCUGCCGUGUUAUCCGGUUGUUGUCUCUGCCUUGUGGCCAGCAUGUUUGUGUCCUGCUGUAUCGUUUUCACCUUGUCUGCUGCCAGGUAUAUGUUUUUAUCACGCUUGCUGUCAUCUUUCAUUAGAUUCGUUUCGAAAUGGACCCAGUUGUUUAGGAUGGAGUUGGAGUCUGGCGUUAAGAUGGAAACUAGUGGCACACAACAACAAAAGCAGCAGUCACAUCAAAACCCGCAACAGAGGUAAACCACGACUUUCCACCAAACAACCGGCCGUCGUCAUUAGAUUCAAUGUAUGCACACGUGCAAUGAACCACACCGAUCAACGUACUGGAGCCUGUAGCCCUUCCUCAGAUCAGUCGAAGAGACACUAAUGCGUGGGCUGUUUUGCGCUGGAUUAGCUGCAAAUCUCCCGUGCCGCACAUUCAGCAUGCUACUCGUAUUUUAACAUCAUUAAUAAUGGAUGAAGAGAUUGUAAUCCGCGAGCAGCAGUGGCAGGACACUAGGAAAUGGAGGACAGAGGAGAGGUUCGGAGUCACAGCCUUUCAUCCCCAACACCGGUCUGAAUCAUUGAUAAACUGAUAACAUUCCCAAUUAUCUUCGUCCAAUUGUAAUAUCCAAUCUCCCAACAGUGACAUUGUCUGGGAUGUAAUUUGCCUGGAACUCACAAAGGUUUUGUGGCAUUUAACCAAAUGCCAGUGAGAGGAAGGGAAAAAUAGAUUGGGGGGGGGGGUUGGACGUCUCCGCGGUGCACAGCCUGGUGUCUUCCAUUGAUUGUGUUUACUCGAGCUUCUCAUUGCCGACCAUUACGCAAGACUAAGGACACACCCUGCCCUAACAGCAGGAUAAUGGGAUUAGUGUUCAACGUAUUCACCAUGCCUCCACCGCCUGCACGGCUUCAUGUGAACAUAAUGGAAGAUGCAAUGUCCGUACAAAGUGGCCGCCUGUCGCACUUAUGGAGGUGUGAUAGGAUACAGUAUGUGAUUGGAACCACCUCAGGCAUUGGUGUCUGAGAAUGAUUCAGUGUCAUUCAUUGAGCUGCGUUGUUGUGGCUGAUGUUUGUGUCAGGGUCGGUUUGAGGUUAGAAUUAUUUGUUCACUAAUAUACUCAGCCUUUCGGGGCUGGUGAGCCUGCUGGCUAGUGGCCCAUCUGCACUGGCUACCCACUGAGGGCUCUCCUUUGUGUUGCGGCUGCUGUCUCAUUUAGACGACCGUGGGCAUCAAAGUGGAGAGGUCGGUAAUCCAGAGGAGACUCUCCACAACCAACCACCUUUAGUAAUUAUGUCACAUUCUGCCGUAAUGGAAUAAUUCAACUCAAAGAGAAGAGAAGAGAAAAGGAGAGGAACAGAAGACAGAUGCUUUGAUCUUUUCCUAAACCUUUUCCCGGAGGAAUGGCCAUCUGAUGAGUUAAAGACACGGCUAUUUGAGGAUCUGAUUCUUCUUUUCACUCCAGUCAGAUUGUUAUUUUUUCUUUCUUUCUAAAUAUAUAUAUUUUUUAUAUUGUUCUUUAAAGUAUUUUAAAGGGAUUGCUUUUGUAAGGAAUAUGUUUUAGCUACUUACUGUAACUCUUUUUUAUUUUAUUUAUUUUUGUUGCACAAGAUAUAUUUUUGAUUGUUGUUUAUUUGUUUUAUUGUAUUGUAGCUGAGUGUUUGGUCUGGUUAUGCCUUUGACCAGGUCACCAUUGUAAAUGAGAAUUGGUUCUCAGUCAGCUUACCUGGUUAAACAAGGCGAAAGUAAAAGAAAAGAAAAUAAUUAAAAUGUAUUUAAUAUGGAUGAAUGGAUUACUUUAAGAUGAUUACUCAACAUUGAAUUGUUUAAUAUUUCUUACACUGUAAAAAGUACUACUACUGUAGUGAAAGUUUUUCGCCUCAUUUGUUUGGUUGAAUC